rnacentral:rRNA from 1 species
UACGUAGGGAGCAAGCGUUGUUCGGAUUUACUGGGCGUAAAGGGCGCGUAGGCGGCAAUUCAAGUCAGCUGUGAAAUCUCCGGGCUUAACUCGGAACGGUCAGCUGAUACUGCUUUGCUAGAGUACGGAAGGGGCAAUCGGAAUUCUCGGUGUAGCGGUGAAAUGCGUAGAUAUCGAGAGGAACACCUGAGGUGAAGACGGGUUGCUGGGCCGACACUGACGCUGACAGCGCGAAAGCCAGGGGAGCAAACGGG